rnacentral:rRNA from 1 species
UACGAAGGGUGCAAACGUUGCUCGGAAUCAUUGGGCGUAAAGCGCACGUAGGCGGCUUCGCAAGUCGGAUGUGAAAUACCUAGGCUCAACCAAGGACGUGCAUCCGAAACUGCGAGGCUUGAGUACAGAAGAGGAUCGCGGAAUUCCCGGUGUAGAGGUGAAAUUCGUGAGAUAUCGGUGAGGAACACCAGUGGCGAAGGCGGCUGAUC